UACGAAGGGGGCUAGCGUUGUUCGGAAUUACUGGGCGUAAAGGGCGCGUAGGCGGUGCUGUAAGUCAGGCGUGAAAUCCCCGGGCUCAACCUGGGAAUUGCGUUUGAUACUGCAGCGCUUGAAUGCAGGAGAGGAUGGCGGAAUUCCCAGUGUAGAGGUGAAAUUCGUAGAUAUUGGGAAGAACACCGGUGGCGAAGGCGGCCAUCUGGCCUGUAAUUGACGCUGAGGCGCGAAAGCGUGGGGAGCAAACAGG
rnacentral:rRNA from 1 species